AGUAGUUCGUAGUUCAUGAGCGUGAUUGGGUGCUCACGCACCUGUGUGGCAUGUGCCUCCCUCGAACCUUGCUACGAGGUCGGCACAUUACCUAUCUGACA